UUGGAGGGCAAGUCUGGUGCCAGCAGCCGCGGUAAUUCCAGCUCCAAUAGCGUAUAUUAAAGUUGUUGCAGUUAAAAAGCUCGUAGUUGAAUUUCGGGAUCAGCAAGUUGGUCGUGCCUCUGGUACGUACUGGCUUUACUGGUUCCUCCUUCUUGAAGAACUGUAAUGUCAUUAAUUUGAUGUUGCAGGGAAACAGGACUGUUACUUUGAAAAAAUUAGAGUGUUUAAAGCAAGCUAACGCUUGAAUACAUUAGCAUGGAAUAAUGAAAUAGGACGUUUGAUCCUAUUUUGUUGGUUUCUAGGAUUGACGUAAUGAUUAAUAGGGAUAGUUGGGGGCAUUAGUAUUCAAUUGUCAGAGGUGAAAUUCUUGGAUUUAUUGAAGACUAACUACUGCGAAAGCAUUUGCCAAGGAUGUUUUCAUUAAUCAAGAACGAAAGUUAGGGGAUCGAAGACGAUCAGAUACCGUCGUAGUCUUAACCAUAAACUAUGCCGACUAGGGAUCGGAUGAUGUUAAUUUUUUAAUGACUCAUUCGGCGCCUUACGGGAAAC
rnacentral:rRNA from 1 species